rnacentral:lncRNA from 1 species
UUGAUCGUAGGUGUUGAUCUCAACAUCUCAGACCAGCAGUAAAAUUAGAACCUAUUCGUAUUGUACAAGCCCAAUAAUGCCCGGGCCCAAGCAAACAAAUAUGCCCGGGCCCAAAACCCAAAUUAACCUAGCCCAAACAUUAACCCAAAACCUAGCCCACACAAAAACAAAAUAACAGAAACCCUAGGAGCCUAUUCGCUUCAGCACUGCCGCCGCUCACCCUCACACGCCGCCACGAAUCUCGCACCACGACCCUCCCCAGCAUGCGCGCACUCCCCAUUAGCCUCCAAACCUGCGAAAAAGGAGGUAUACAACGCAACAAUAGCAACAAAAGCAACAAAUAUCGUUGGGGAAAUAUUUUUAUAUUUAUUUAUUAUUAUUUUCUUUCGGCUAUAAAAAGGGGCCGCUAUCAAAUCUGUAAAGGGGGGAAAGGGUUGUAAAAAACACUGAAAUACAAAAAUAAAGAAUCAAAAGCAGUUUUUGGAAGGUGAUUCGUUUUUCUUUUCUCGGAGAUUUUCUUCUCAUUAUUUCUAUUUUCGUUUCAUAUUUUUUUAUUUUUUUUCUGAUAUUUAAAAAAAAAAGAAUAAAGAAGGAAAAUGGCGCUUACCUGGGUUCGGGCGUUGGUUUCGAGGGCCGUACGUGGUGGCUCCACGGCGGCGGCGGCAUGAAGGGGCUAGGGUUGAAC